rnacentral:rRNA from 1 species
UACGGGGGGGAGCAAGCGUUGUUCGGAUUUACUGGGCGUAAAGGGCGCGUAGGCGGUCAGCACAAGUCAGUUGUGAAAUCUCCGGGCUUAACUCGGAAAGGUCAACUGAUACUGUGCGACUAGAGUGCGGAAGGGGCAACUGGAAUUCUCGGUGUAGCGGUGAAAUGCGUAGAUAUCGAGAGGAACACCUGCGGCGAAGGCGGGUCUCUGGGCCGAUACUGACGCUGAGGAGCGAAAGCGUGGGGAGCAAACAGG